rnacentral:rRNA from 1 species
GAUGAACGCUGGCGGCGUGCCUAACACAUGCAAGUCGAGCGAACAGACGAGGAGUUUGCUCGUCUGACGUUAGCGGCGGACGGGUGAGUAACAUGUGUAUAACCUACCUAUCAGACUGGGAUAAUUUCGGGAAACCGGAUCUAAUACCGGAUAAUAUAUUGAACCGUAUUGUUCAAUAGUGAAAGUCGGCUUUGCUGUCUCUUAUAGCUGCUUCCGCGCCGCAUUAGCUAGUUGUUAGGGUAACGGCUUAUCAAGGCAACGAUGCGUAGCCGACGUGAGAGAGUGAUCGGCCACACUGGAGCUGGGACGCGGUCAAGGGUCCUACGGGAGGCAGCAGUAGGGAAUGGUAGGCAAUAGGGGGAAGCAUGGCGGAACAGCGCCGCGUGGGAGAUGAAAAUCUUCGGAUCGUAAAACUGUGUUAUGAGGGAAGAACAGAUGUGGAAGUAACUGUGCACGUCUUGACGGUACCGAAUCAGAAAGCCACGGCUAACUACGUG